rnacentral:rRNA from 1 species
AUAUUGCACAAUGGGCGCAAGCCUGAUGCAGCAACGCCGCGUGAGGGACGAAGGCCUUCGGGUCGUAAACCUCUUUUCUGAGGGACGAGUAAGGACGGUACCUCAGGAAUAAGUCUCGGCUAACUACGUGCCAGCAGCCGCGGUAAAACGUAGGAGGCGAGCGUUAUCCGGAUUUACUGGGCGUAAAGCGUACGCAGGUGGCUUCGUGAGUCGGGCAUGAAAGCUCCUGGCUUAACUGGGAGAGGUUGUUCGAUACUGCGUGGCUUGAGGUUGGGAGAGCGACGUGGAGUUCCCGGUGUAGUGGUGGAAUGCGUAGAUAUCGGGAGGAACACCAGUGGCGCAAGCGGCGUCCUGGCCCACAACUGACGCUGAGGUACGAAAGCGUGGGUAGCA